rnacentral:tRNA from 1 species
GGAGAGGUGGCAGAGCCUGGUUGAAUGCACCUGACUCGAAAUCAGACGUACUCGCAAGGGUACCGGGAGUUCGAAUCUCCCCCUCUCCGCCA